GCCAGGCGUGGUGGCGCAUGCCUGUAAUCCAGCAUCUUGGAGGCUGAGGCAGGAGGAUAAUGAGUUCAAAGCCAGCCUCAG
rnacentral:sRNA from 1 species